rnacentral:rRNA from 1 species
UACGAAGGGGGCUAGCGUUGCUCGGAAUCACUGGGCGUAAAGGGUGCGUAGGCGGGUCUUUUAAGUCAGGGGUGAAAUCCUGGAGCUCAACUCCAGAACUGCCUUUGAUACUGAAGAUCUUGAGUUCGGGAGAGGUGAGUGGAACUGCGAGUGUAGAGGUGAAAUUUCGUAGAUAUUCGCAAGAACACCAGUGGCGAAGGCGGCUCACUGGCCCGAUACUGACGCUGAGGCACGAA